rnacentral:lncRNA from 1 species
AUACAGGUGACCGUAUCCUGAGCCCCGGGCAGAGGCAGGACCGAGCCGCAAUCUGAACAGAAAUCCAGGUCCGACUGAAAGCUGGAGCAAGUAUUGGCGAGGUCCAUGACAGACAUGCGGUCGGGUCUGAGGAGGGAGUUGGAAGUUUAUUAACAAAAGAGAGAAGAGUUCCUGUCCCAGAGGUCGUAACUAUUCUGUCCCAGGACCUAGGAGUAUAUAACCCGAACCCUCCUGCCACGCACGCCUCCUGCCUCUGCGACCAAGGAGCCGAAACGCCCGGAAUUCCCAGACAGCGUCGGGUACUAAAGGACUUGGAACCCUUUCCAGGGGCCGGUGAGAGGAGUUAACCAACUCCGUGGGCUAGAGCGCCAGCUCUGCGCCCGCGGCGGGGCAGCGAGAUAGAGCCGGCUAGAGCGUCAGGCUUUCGCGUUGACGAUUGGCUGUGACGUCAUAAUUAAUUGCGAACCGUGUCUCGGGAGCGUUAGAGAUGGAGACUAACGUCUUCCAAGGGAGAUUGCGUCUCUACUUUCACCCUGGUACUGAGAGGUUGAGCACAAAAUUGGUAACCAAUGCUGCGCUUCCAGCAAAUUUUCCCACCAGCACCCAAUCCUGGGAUAUUUAUUCUCUUUGUCUCACAUCCUACAGGAACGCAGUCGCGGGGUAUAUCCCCCUGAAAACCGUACGUUGCCAAAUAAUGAUUUCUUUGGAUUAGAGAACUACAACUCCCCUGGGUCCUGAGCCGGUAUUUCCCUUUUGCGGCUGCACCGUAGUUAAAAACAAAGCUAAGUGUUCUGGGACGUAUAGUUCUAGCGUUCCUUGGGUCCCGCUGGCGAGCGUGGGCUUUCUGCAGCUCGCAACCGGCCUCAUGCUUUGCGGACGGUUCACUGCGCUUGGAAAGGGAUUGGCCUGGGGUACAUCAUCUAAAGAUCCUAGGAUUGCUGCAGGUCAGCAGUCUCCACUGGAAAAAAAGAUCUUGCAUGUAUUUCAAGUCCUCUGAUGAAUCAUGUGAUCUACUAGACCCUGAAGAUACAGUGAAGAGCAAAAGAACACGGAUGAAAUGAGAAACAAAAACGAUGGAGAAAACCAAAAAAGGGGACACAUGGGAUCCAGGCAAUAGGAGAGCCAGCAUAAGAGAGAGGCAGAGGGAUGCCCAGGAUGAGGUGAAGACGAUCUUGGAAAUCAGCCCAGAUGUGCAUGCACCAGUCCACGUGUGGCAGGACCAAGGGAAGUGUCUUCACAAAGAUGAGGCUUUGAUUUGUUGGAGAAACUGUUACCAGAAAAACAGGUCCCGAUCCCGACCCCAAAAGAGUAUUCUUGGAUCUUGCACAGGAAGGAAUUAAAGGUCUAGCUCUGUCUCCUCAGCACAUGUUCUAGGCUCUGACUGCAAGUGCUGACUUGGGCUCCCAGCCCCACACAGACCCUCUGUUCCAUGAAAGGGCCAUCUAUGCAAAGUGCCCCCCAAAUGCCAAAGGAGCCAAUAAACCAAGGAACAAGACAG